rnacentral:rRNA from 1 species
ACUCGAGUGGCGAACGGGUGAGUAACACGUGGGUGAUCUGCCCUACACUUCGGGAUAAGCCUGGGAAACUGGGUCUAAUACCGGAUAGGAGCCAUUUUUAGUGUGAUGGUUGGAAAGUUUUUCGGUGUAGGAUGAGCUCGCGGCCUAUCAGCUUGUUGGUGGGGUAAUGGCCUACCAAGGCGGCGACGGGUAGCCGGCCUGAGAGGGUGACCGGCCACAUUGGGACUGAGAUACGGCCCAG